rfam:Homo sapiens chromosome 18, GRCh38 reference primary assembly.
GCUGGGCGUGGUGGCUCACGCCUGUGAUCCCAGCACUUUGGGAGGCUGAGGCGGGUGGAUCACCUGAGGUCAGGAGUUCAAGACCAGCCUGGCCAACAUGGUGAAACCCUGUCUCUA